CCCGCCCACAGGGCGAAGUUCCACCCACCACGGGAAAUCCCGCCCCAAGAGCAUCCCUAACCGUCCUCCGGGGGAUUGUGAAUUUGUACUCCGCUCCGGCAAAACGGAGGCAUUGGAGACGCAGCCAAGUCUGGACUACAGGGCUGUGGGCACAGUCACCUGGGAGAGAAGAUGUGUGCACACGGAGUAAUCAUUCAUGACAGAAACUGCAACCCUGCUGUGCUGAAAUCCUACUAAGAAUUCCAUGGGCAUCUAUAUUUUAAUAAAACCAAAAACUGCUGAGGACUAAAAGUUCUCACAAACAUCUGGCUCCUGAAAGAGUUUUGUUUUUCUUUUGGAUUAGAAAAGUCAUGAAGAGUCAAUGUA